AUACUUACCUGGAUCGGGUUAAUGUGUGAUCAAUAAGGCUUAUGGCCUUGGUCGAUGACUUCCUUUGCACUUUGAAAGGGUGCCCACUUAAGGUCGGUCCAAAUGAUCGAGCCUAUGUCAUAAUUUGUGGUAGGGGUGUACAAAACAGAACCG